GAAAUGCGAUACGUAAUGCGAAUUGCAGAAUUCAGUGAAUCAUCGAAUUUUUGAACGCAAAUUGCGCUUUCGGGAUAGGCCUGAAAGCAUGUUUCUUUGAGCCUCGUGUCUAACCCACCUCGGCUGCGUGCCGGAAAAUGAAAGUCCUGUGGCAUUGACGCAGGUCUUUUUAAGAUUAUUGAGUCAUUGACUUGAGCGCCUCGCACUAACUUCUUUCUGCAAGCGCCGCGAUUAAAAGUUUCGAGCUUUUUCUCGUCGUGAGCAAUUGAUUUGGAGCGGAAGCGAUCACGCGCAAUUGGACGAUACGGAAAACCUUUUUGACUUAGAGCUCAAAUGAAGCAAGAUAACCCGCUGAACUUAA
rnacentral:misc_RNA from 1 species